rnacentral:rRNA from 1 species
UACGUAGGGUGCGAGCGUUAAUCGGAAUUACUGGGCGUAAAGCGUGCGCAGGCGGUUUUGUAAGCCAGAUGUGAAAUCCCCGGGCUUAACCUGGGAAUGGCAUUUGGGACUGCAAGGCUUGAGUUCGGUAGGGGAGACUGGAAUUCCUGGUGUAGCGGCGAAAUGCGCAGAUAUCAGGAGGAACACCGGUGGCGAAGGCGGGUCACUGGUCCAUUACUGACGCUGAGGUGCGAAAGCGUGGGGAGCAAACAGG